GAAAAAAUUAAAAGGAAAAAAAAAAAAAAAAAGAGAAGAGAAAGGAAAUGAGUGGCGGAAAAAAUGGGGGAAAAGACAACUUUCAGAGACUGGAAUUAAAACCCGAGCCCGAGGCCCGUGCUGCCGCAGCUCUGGGGAUGCCCUCGACACCAGGCUGGCCAUGGGUUCACCCUACGUGAUGCUCAUUUUCUGGCUGACAAGGUGUAGGUCUCUGGCCCUGGGGAGAGUUCACUGGGAAUAUCAUGCUCAGAUUGGCUCAUUAUUACAUGAAUCAGGAGUGGGGGUUAUAUGGAAAACCCCAGCCCCCAAAAGCCAUGAGCUGUGAGGAGCUGCCAGCAGGACCUUGUCUUGAGGCCCCCUCAGCAGAAGCCCCUCACCACAGCUGAUCCCACUUCGCUCCUCCUCUCCCUGCUCCUGCUGGCCGACCCUGGGCUGGAGCAUGAUGUGGAUCCUGAUUUCCAGCAGCGUCUGUCCAGGCUGAGCAGGGCUGCUGAUCAGCACCAGACCUCGGCAUGGGGACACAGCACCGGCUCAGGCAUGGCCGGGGUGCAGAGGACACCGGGACAGCCCCAUCCUGCCCUGCACGUGGCUCUGUGGGCCACUCUCUGGUGAAGAACGUAAGGCUGGAAGAAUAGGAAAAAUUAAAAACAACAAGAAGAAAAGAAAGAAAAAGAGUCUCCAACCCCAGGAAAUCUGUGUUAAUUGCUUAUGAAUGUCUCUGUCUAAAAAAUUAUCGAAUUGAUGUUGUCGUGCUUUUUUUUGACAGCCUGUCUGUUACAUUUUUUUAAAAUAUUCAUGCACCGAAAUCUAAUUACUAGGCAAAUUUAAUGAUAAUGAAAUGAAGGCACUUUAGCAGAAAGCAUAGGGCCUUGUUAAUGUUUUCUCAGCCUCUGUCUUGUUCAUAUUUUUAAAAUUAUUUUUUUACAACUGUCUUUCUUGCAUAUGAAAAAAAAAAAAAAAGAUUGCUGAAAAUAAAACUCAGAUUGCCAAUAA